GGGUGCAUAGCUCAGUUGGUAGAGCAACUCCCUCUUAAGGAGAUGGUCGGGGGUUCGAGUCCCUCUGCGCCCA
rnacentral:tRNA from 1 species